CGGAGGGGCUAGCGUUGUUCGGAAUUACUGGGCGUAAAGCGCACGUAGGCGGAUUGGCAAGUUGGGGGUGGAAAUCCCAGGGCUCAACCCUGGAACUGCCUCCAAAACUUCCAGUCUUGAGGUCGAGAGAGGUGAGUGGAAUUCCGAGUGUAGAGGUGAAAUUCGUAGAUAUUCGGAGGAACACCAGUGGCGAAGGCGGCUCACUGGCUCGAUACUGACGCUGAGGUGCGAAAGCGUGGGGAGCAAACAGGAUU
rnacentral:rRNA from 1 species